UCUUUGGCAGUCCAGUGGUUAGGACUCCAUGUUUUCAUUGCUGAGGGCCCAGGUUCAAUCCCUGGUCAAGGAA
rnacentral:tRNA from 1 species